GAUGAAGAACGCAGCGAAAUGCGAUACGUAAUGUGAAUUGCAGAAUUCAGUGAAUCAUCAAAUCUUUGAACGCACAUUGCGCCCGCCAGCACUCUGGCGGGCAUGCCUGUUCGAGCGUCAUUUCAACCAUCAAGCCCCAGGCUUGCGUUGGAGCCCUGCGGCUGCCGCAGCCUCCUAAAAGCAGUGGCGGGCUCGCUAUCACACCGAGUGCAGUAGAUUACUCUUCGCUCAGGGCGUGCAGCGGGUUCCGGCCGUGAAACCCCCUACUUUUAAAGGUUGACCUCGGAUCAGGUAGGAAUACCCGCUGAACUUAAGCAUAUCAAAAGCGGAGGA
rnacentral:misc_RNA from 1 species